rnacentral:rRNA from 1 species
CGCGUAGGCGGCCACCGCAAGUCGGUUGUGAAAUCUCUGGGCUUAACCCGGAAAGGUCAACCGAUACUGCGGGGCUAGAGUGCAGAAGGGGCAACUGGAAUUCUCGGUGUAGCGGUGAAAUGCGUAGAUAUCGAGAGGAACACCUGCGGCGAAGGCGGGUUGCUGGGCUGACACUGACGCUGAGGCGCGAAAGCUAGGGAGCAACG